UAGUCCACGCCGUAAACGAUGGAUACUAGCUGUUCGUCUAACAUUGGUUAGAUGAGUGGCUAAGCGAAAGUGAUAAGUAUCCCACCUGGGGAGUACGGUCGCAAGACUGAAACUCAAAGGAAUUGACGGGGGCCCGCACAAGCGGUGGAGCAUGUGGUUUAAUUCGAUGAUACGCGAGGAACCUUACCAGGGCUUAAAUGUAGUUGCAUGAUUCAGAAAUGGAUCUUUCUUCGGACUACUUACAAGGUGCUGCAUGGUUGUCGUCAGCUCGUGCCGUGAGGUGUCAGGUUAAGUCCUAUAACGAGCGCAACCCCUAUCGUUAGUUGCCAUCAAGUAAAGUUGGGAACUCUAGCGAAACUGCCGGUGCAAACCGUGAGGAAGGUGGGGAUGACGUCAAAUCAUCACGGCCCUUACGUCCUGGGCCACACACGUGCUACAAUGGUCAGUACAGAAAGCAGCCACUAUGCGAAUAGGAGCUAAUCUUCAAAGCUGAU
rnacentral:rRNA from 1 species